rnacentral:ncRNA from 1 species
CCAAAGGCUCUUUUCAGAGCCACCCACCUUUUCCGUUGAAGAGCUGU